UGGUGGCGAUAGCGAGAAGGAUACACCUGUUCCCAUGCCGAACACAGAAGUUAAGCUUCUUAGCGCCGAUUGUAGUGAAGGG
rnacentral:rRNA from 6 species